rnacentral:rRNA from 1 species
CAACCUGGCGGCAUCCUAAUCAUGCAAGUCGAACGCUUCUUUUCUACCGGGUGCUUGCACCCACCAGAGAAGAAGAGUGGCGGACGGGUGAGUAACACGUGGGUAACCUGCCCAUAAGUGGGGGAUAACAGCCGGAAACGGCUGCUAAUACCGCAUAAUUCCAGUGAUCUCCUGAUCGUUGGAUGAAAGGUGGCUUCGGCUACCGCUUAUGGAUGGACCCGCGGCGUAUUAGCUAGUUGGUGAGGUAAUGGCUCACCAAGGCAAUGAUACGUAGCCGACCUGAGAGGGUGAUCGGCCACACUGGGACUGAGACACGGCCCAGACUCCUACGGGAGGCAGCAGUAGGGAAUCUUCCGCAAUGGACGAAAGUCUGACGGAGCAAUGCCGCGUGAGUGAAGAAGGUUUUCGGAUCGUAAAACUCUGUUGUUAGAGAAGAACAAGGAUGAGAGUAACUGCUCAUCCCUUGACGGUAUCUAACCAGAAAGCCACGGCUAACUACGUGCCAGCAGCCGCGGUAAU